UCUCCUACGGGAGGCAGCAGUGGGGAAUAUUGGACAAUGGGCGCAAGCCUGAUCCAGCCAUGCCGCGUGUGUGAAGAAGGCCUUCGGGUUGUAAAGCACUUUUGUUCGGGAAGAAAUCUUCCGACCUAAUACGUCGGGAGGAUGACGGUACCGAAAGAAUAAGCACCGGCUAACUUCGUGCCAGCAGCCGCGGUAAUACGAAGGGUGCAAGCGUUACUCGGAAUUACUGGGCGUAAAGCGUGCGUAGGUGGUUCGUUAAGUCUGCCGUGAAAGCCCCGGGCUCAACCUGGGAAUGGCGGUGGAUACUGGCGGACUAGAGUGCGGUAGAGGGUGGUGGAAUUCCCGGUGUAGCAGUGAAAUGCGUAGAGAUCGGGAGGAACAUCUGUGGCGAAGGCGGCCACCUGGACCAGCACUGACACUGAGGCACGAAAGCGUGGGGAGCAAACAGGAUUAGAUACCCUGGUAGUCCACGCCCUAAACGAUGCGGACUGGACGUUGGGCUCAAUUAGGAGCUCAGUGUCGAAGCUAACGCG
rnacentral:rRNA from 1 species